GGCGUGCUUAACACAUGCAAGUCGAACGGUGAACACGGAGCUUGCUCUGUGGGAUCAGUGGCGAACGGGUGAGUAACACGUGAGCAACCUGCCCCUGACUCUGGGAUAAGCGCUGGAAACGGCGUCUAAUACUGGAUAUGUGACGUGACCGCAUGGUCUGCGUCUGGAAAGAAUUUCGGUUGGGGAUGGGCUCGCGGCCUAUCAGCUUGUUGGUGAGGUAAUGGCUCACCAAGGCGUCGACGGGUAGCCGGCCUGAGAGGGUGACCGGCCACACUGGGACUGAGACACGGCCCAGACUCCUACGGGAGGCAGCAGUGGGGAAUAUUGCACAAUGGGCGCAAGCCUGAUGCAGCAACGCCGCGUGAGGGACGACGGCCUUCGGGUUGUAAACCUCUUUUAGCAGGGAAGAAGCGAAAGUGACGGUACCUGCAGAAAAAGCGCCGGCUAACUACGUGCCAGCAGCCGCGGUAAUACGUAGGGCGCAAGCGUUAUCCGGAAUUAUUGGGCGUAAAGAGCUCGUAGGCGGUUUGUCGCGUCUGCUGUGAAAUCCGGAGGCUCAACCUCCGGCCUGCAGUGGGUACGGGCAGACUAGAGUGCGGUAGGGGAGAUUGGAAUUCCUGGUGUAGCGGUGGAAUGCGCAGAUAUCAGGAGGAACACCGAUGGCGAAGGCAGAUCUCUGGGCCGUAACUGACGCUGAGGAGCGAAAGGGUGGGGAGCAAACAGGCUUAGAUACCCUGGUAGUCCACCCCGUAAACGUUGGGAACUAGUUGUGGGGUCCAUUCCACGGAUUCCGUGACGCAGCUAACGCAUUAAGUUCCCCGCCUGGGGAGUACGGCCGCAAGGCUAAAACUCAAAGGAAU
rnacentral:rRNA from 1 species